AAAACUUUCAACAACGGAUCUCUUGGUUCUCGCGCCGAUGAAGAACGCAGCGAAAUGCGAUACGUAAUGUGAAUUGCAUAAUUCCGUGAAUCAUCGAAUCUUUGAACGCACAUUGCGCCCCAUAGUAUUCUGUGGGGCAUGCCUGUUUGAGCGUCAU
rnacentral:rRNA from 2 species